rnacentral:rRNA from 1 species
GGGCAGCGGGUUGAAAGCUUGCUUUUAAUGCCGGCGACCGGCGCACGGGUGCGUAACGCGUAUCAAACCUGCCUCAUACUCGGGGAUAGCCUUGCGAAAGUAAGAUUAAUACCCGAUGUUGUUGCUUUCUCGCAUGGGAGAGUAACCAAAGAUUUAUCGGUAUGAGAUGGUGAUGCGUCCGAUUAGGUAGUAGGCGGGGUAACGGCCCACCUAGCCUUCGAUCGGUAGGGGUUCUGAGAGGAAGGUCCCCCACACUGGAACUGAGACACGGUCCAGACUCCUACGGGAGGCAGCAGUGAGGAAUAUUGGUCAAUGGGCGAGAGCCUGAACCAGCCAAGUAGCGUGCAGGAUGACGGCCCUCCGGGUUGUAAACUGCUUUUAGUUGGGAAUAAAAAAAGGGACUUGUCCCUUCUUGUAUGUACCUUCAGAAAAAGGACCGGCUAAUUCCGUGCCAGCAGCCGCGGUAAUACGGAAGGUUCGGGCGUUAUCCGGAUUUAUUGGGUUUAAAGGGAGCGUAGGCCGGAGAUUAAGUGUGUUGUGAAAUGUAGACGCUCAACGUCUGACUUGCAGCGCAUACUGGUUUCCUUGAGUACGCACAACGUGGGCGGAAUUCGUCGUGUAGCGGUGAAAUGCUUAGAUAUGACGAAGAACUCCGAUUGCGAAGGCAGCUGACGGGAGCGCAACUGACGCUGAAGCUCGAAGGUGCGG